AGGAGGGCACCGAGCUGGAAAAGUGAGGCAGGAGGAGCCAGAGGACUGAUGAACGUACAGGCCCCCGUUUGAAACUGAGACUGUCUUUCAAGUGCAGCAGGAGGCCUAGUGUCUAGGAAGAAAUGCACAUUUUUAUCCUAUGAGCUCCUUUGCCACCUUGCUGACACCUUUCUUGAUAACUCCGAGAUGAAUUCCUCGUUCUCCUCUACUCCUCCACACCUCCACGAUCAGAGCAAAGUACGCGGCACACCUUAUUGCAAGGAGUCUUUUACAAAACUAAACUCUGCCGGUGUCCCACCCAGAUCCGAGCUCCUUCAAGAUGGGGGCCACGUCAGCAUCAUCUUUCUGGCUCAGUGUCUGUUCCAGAAGAGGCACUCAAGGUUUUUAAACGGGUAAAAUGAAACUGUAGGUCCUCUCUGAAGACCCCCUGGGGUUGUAGAUAGAAUGUGGACUGGUGCCUAGGCAGAAGUCUGGAUCCUUCCAUGCCUUUCCCUAGCUUGUAUCACGGCAGGGCCAGGCAUGGAAGUCUCAUCUUGGGCAUGAGUGAGAGAAAGCCCUUGGGCAGGAGUCAGCAGUCCCUCAGAGAUGUCACCUUCCUGCUGAUGGGCUGGGUUCUCCUUCGGUCAGAAUAGUGAAGGAAGUGCGAGGAGGGGCUGACAGUGAAGAUGUCGCAGGUCAGUUAUGGAUAUUAAAGCACGUUGUACCCAGGAGUCAUCUCUGUGUUCCUUCCAGCCGGUGGGUGUCAUCAGCAUUCAUCCCUUGCCCCACCAUGUGCCAGGGACGAGCUGAACUCGGAGGAACAACCAUAAAAAAGACACAGCUCCUGUGCUGAAGGAGCUUCCAGCCUAGUGGGAGAAGUAAAUACUAGAUCUUAAACAGCUGGGAGGAAGCCCCAAAGUGGACUAGAAAAAUCAAUCAAGUAGAGGAGGACGAAAAAUUGGAGCCUCAUCAAACCUGUGAGGAUGGUCCUGCUGUUUUCUCAUUUGACAGGGGAAGGGAGGCUCAAGAGGUUGUGACACGCCCCAUGCCCCAGGGCGGGUGCCCGAAUUUCUGGCUUCCAUCCAUGAGACAGGAGCUGAAAACAUUCGAGAAUAUCACAAAGGAACAGCGACCUGCCCCUGAAGAAGGCAGCUUCUGCAGCAUCGCCAGCUUGCCAGGCCCCUAGUAAGCGUCCUGUUGUUGACGAUGAUUCUCUGUUACAGGAAAAACACAUCAACAGAAGCUCAACAAGUGGUAAUACUUUGAUGUGAGGGAGCAGCCAUUAGGAUACUUCCCUCAU